rnacentral:rRNA from 1 species
GACGAACGCUGGCGGCGUGCUUAACACAUGCAAGUCGAACGAUGAAGCCCAGCUUGCUGGGUGGAUUAGUGGCGAACGGGUGAGUAACACGUGAGUAACCUGCCCUGGACUCUGGGAUAACCCCGAGAAAUCGGAGCUAAUACCGGAUAGGACCUUUCCUCGCAUGAGGUUUGGUGGCAAGUUUUUCGGUUUGGGAUGGACUCGCGGCCUAUCAGCUUGUUGGUGAGGUAAUGGCUCACCAAGGCGUCGACGGGUAGCCGGCCUGAGAGGGUGACCGGCCACACUGGGACUGAGACACGGCCCAGACUCCUACGGGAGGCAGCAGUGGGGAAUAUUGCACAAUGGGCGCAAGCCUGAUGCAGCAACGCCGCGUGCGGGAUGACGGCCUUCGGGUUGUAAACCGCUUAUAGUAGGGAAGAAGCCUUCGGGUGACGGUACCUGCAGAAAAAGGACCGGCUAACUACGUGCCAGCAGCCGCCGUAACAC